AACCCCAGAUAAGACCAAGCACCUUAUAUUUGGGAGGGCAGAAUGAAAGGGUUUUUUUCCCAUAAUUAUGGCUGUAUAGAAAUAGAACUUAAUGUUCUGCCCGCUCACCCUUUAUCUCAUGCUUAACUAAAAGGUGAAACCCUAGCUGCUGCUGAAGACUGAUCUCCAUGGGUGAAUCUGUGAUUUUGCAAAGAGUUUGAACAGUGCAAAAGAGGGAAAGAGAGACCCAGGAGUAGCUGGUGCACACCCAAACUGCCAGAAGAACAGUUAGCUUGAUUAGUGAAACAUCAGCUGUUUGAUUAAUAAUGAUACCGCUCCUACUGCACUUGUGGAGCAGGAUUCAGUGUAUGGUGAAUCUGUUCUUGGUGGAAAAUCACCUUCUCUGCUUAAGACAUAUACCCCAAUUUUGGGGGCUGUGUUUUGGGGAAAAAGGCUUAUGUGGUGUGCAAACAAGUACUGGAUGUGGGUUUAGGUUAGAAGGCAAUUCCUAAGGAAGUGGGGAAUGGGGUUGGGGGCUCCAAAUGUCUACCAGUGUAGUGAGAACAUGAACCCUUCUUUCUUGACUUGCUAAUCAUUAGAUGAGAGGAAGAAGGCUUUCAGCAGUGCUGCUGGGACCAGCUAAAUAGGAUGCCCAGCUACUGGCAGUCCUCCAGUAGGUGAAAUGGAUGACCAUAGAAAGAAUAACCUGGAAUGCAUGGAUGAUUGCUAGAUAACUCGAGUGUGCUUUUUAAUAAAGCUGCAACCUUCUUAAGCUACCUUCUUAGUGUCUCAUCUCUUUUCCUGUAGCAUGUGGGACAAUUGCAAUGUAUCCAAUGGAAGAAUUUGGAAAAACAGGUCUGUUGCAUCAAUCAGCAAAAUUAGGAUUUAUUUUAAUAGUUUAUGUGAAAAUGAUCCAAAGCAGUAAGUUAAAAUCUUAAACUGAAACUAUGACCAAUAUUGUAUGCUUGUCUUUGUUUUUUUGGCAACUUGACUAUUUGAUGCAACUUGCUGAGAGGACACUUACCCAUAGGCCUAGGCCAGAUCUGAAAACUUGUCCUGAAAAAUCUGAAGGACAAAAUCUAGGGCAUUUUUUUUCCUUUCAGGAUAACUCUUAAAUUGCCCAUAUACCAAGAACAUGUAAAAGAAAAAGUUUCUAGGCAUCAUGACUACAGAGAGAAUCUUCCAGAUAUGAAGAGUGCAACCACUGUAAUAAAAUCCGCCUUUGUCUGUAGGUACCUGAAACAGUAACAUAGAUAUGAACUCCCUGUUUUCCUUUUAAUCGGAUUGGAGCUCAGUUCUGAAGCAGUGACACUUGCCACUUAAAAACUUAAAGAUCCUUUUCACAGAUGGAGGUGAGGUUAGAAGAAAAGCACAUAGGUUAGGAAGUGGCAAUUGCUGAAGUGGGAAAUGGAGAGAGAGAGGUACAAGAGAUUCAGAAAUGCUGGAAGGAAAAAAGAAUCGUAUUCUCUUGAUCUAGGUGCCACUUCCCAACAAGCUCAGGGUGGUUUACAGUAAGACGACACAAUAAGGCUGCCACCUGAAGAUUCAGGCUCUUUGCAGAGAUGGGAAUUGCGUGAAAGAGAAGAAUGUUGGAGUGAUGUUGUAGCUAUGAUGGUCCAGGAAAAAUGCCAGGAGGCAAGGAUUAUUACAAGGGAUGCAUUUUAUUAGACCAUUGUAUGGGGGGAAGGGGCA